GCCGUAAACGAUGUCGACUUGGAGGUUGUGCCCUUGAGGCGUGGCUUCCGGAGCUAACGCGUUAAGUCGACCGCCUGGGGAGUACGGCCGCAAGGUUAAAACUCAAAUGAAUUGACGGGGGCCCGCACAAGCGGUGGAGCAUGUGGUUUAAUUCGAUGCAACGCGAAGAACCUUACCUGGUCUUGACAUCCACGGAAGUUUUCAGAGAUGAGAAUGUGCCUUCGGGAACCGUGAGACAGGUGCUGCAUGGCUGUCGUCAGCUCGUGUUGUGAAAUGUUGGGUUAAGUCCCGCAACGAGCGCAACCCUUAUCCUUUGUUGCCAGCGGUCCGGCCGGGAACUCAAAGGAGACUGCCAGUGAUAAACUGGAGGAAGGUGGGGAUGACGUCAAGUCAUCAUGGCCCUUACGACCAGGGCUACACACGUGCUACAAUGGCGCAUACAAAGAGAAGCGACCUCGCGAGAGCAAGCGGACCUCAUAAAGUGCGUCGUAGUCCGGAUUGGAGUCUGCAACUCGACUCCAUGAAGUCGGAAUCGCUAGUAAUCGUGGAUCAGAAUGCCACGGUGAAUACGUUCCCGGGCCUUGUACACACCGCCCGUCACACCAUGGGAGUGGGUUGCAAAAGAAGUAGGUAGCUUAACCUUCGGGAGGGCGCUUACCACUUUGUGAUUCAUGACUGGGGUGAAGUCGUAACAAGGUAACCGUAGGGGAACCUGCGGUUG
rnacentral:rRNA from 1 species